GCCACCUUAGCUCAGUUGGCAGAGCGUUCGCCUUGUAAGCGAAAGGCCAAUGGUUCGAUUCCGUUAGGUGGCA
rfam:Absidia glauca strain CBS 101.48 genome assembly, contig: contig_6188